rnacentral:rRNA from 1 species
CUGCGGUGAAUACGUUCCCGGGUCUUGUACACACCGCCCGUCAAACCAUGAAAGUCGGGGGGCACCCGAAGUCUGAAUUUAUUUCGGCCUAAGGUGAACCAGAUGAUUGGGGGUU